rnacentral:rRNA from 1 species
GCUUACGGCCAUACCAACCUGAACACGCCCGAUCUCGGAAGCUAAGCAGGGUCGGGCCUGGUGAGUACUUGGAUGGGAGACCGCCCUGGAAACCAGUGCUGUAAGCU